CCUACGGGGGGCUGCAGUCGAGAAUCAUUCACAAUGGGGGAAACCCUGAUGGUGCGACGCCGCGUGGGGGAAUGAAGGUCUUCGGAUUGUAAACCCCUGUCAUGUGGGAGCAAAUUAAAAAGAUAGUACCACAAGAGGAAGAGACGUCUAACUCUGUGCCAGCAGCCGCGGUAAUACAGAGGUCUCAAGCGUUGUUCGGAAGCACUGGGCGUAAAGCGUGCGUAGGCUGUUUCGUAAGUCGUGUGUGAAAGGCGGGGGCUCAACCCGCGGACGGCACAUGAUACUGCGAGACUAGAGUAAUGGAGGGGGAACCGGAAGUCUCGGUGUAGCAGUGAAAUGCGUAGAUAUCGAGAGGAACACUCGUGGCGAAGGCGGGUUCCUGGACAUUAACUGACGCUGAGGCACGAAGGCCAGGGGAGCGAAAGGGAUUAGAUACCCGAGUAGUC
rnacentral:rRNA from 1 species